GCAUUGUCUCAGUACUUGCUUUAACAAGGCGAAACCGCGAAUGGCUCAUUAAAUCAGUUAUGGUUCACUAGAUCGUAUGAAUUACAUGGAUAACUGUGGUAAUUCUAGAGCUAAUACAUGCAUCCAGCUCGGCUGCCUUGUGCAGCGAGCGCAGUUAUUAGAACAAAACCAAUCCGGCUUCUGUCGGUAAAUUGGUGACUCUGAAUAACCGAAGCGGAGCGCUAAGGUCUCGUACCGGCGCCAGAUCUUUCAAGUGUCUGACUUAUCAGCUUGUUGCGAGGUUAUGUUCCUCGCAUGGCUGUUACGGGUGACGGGGAAUCAGGGUCCGAUUCCGGAGAGGGAGCCUGAGAAACGGCUACCACAUCCAAGGAAGGCAGCAGGCGCGCAAAUUACCCACUCCCGGCACGGGGAGGUAGUGACGAAAAAUAACGAUGCGAGAGCUUUUAGCUUUUCGUAAUCGGAAUGGGUACACUUUAAAUCCUUUAACGAGGAUCUAUUGGAGGGCAAGUCUGGUGCCAGCAGCCGCGGUAAUUCCAGCUCCAAUAGCGUAUAUUAAAGUUGCUGCGGUUAAAAAGCUCGUAGUUGGAUCCGGGCAGUCGACGCGCGGUGCGCUUUACGGCGUUACUGCGUGCUCGUCGCCACUAUCCGGCCUUGUCUUUCAUGUUCUUUACUGAGCGUGAUCGGCGACCGGGACGUUUACUUUGAAAAAAUUAGAGUGCUUAAAGCAGGCAUAUGGCCUUGCAUAAUGGUGCAUGGAAUAAUGGAAUAGGACCUCGGUUCUAUUUUGUUGGUUUUCGGAGCUCGAGGUAAUGAUUAAGAGGAACAGACGGGGACAUUCGUAUUGCGGCGUU
rnacentral:rRNA from 1 species